UGCGCCCCCGCCCGGCCGGCGCCCGGGUCCUGGGCGCGAGGCCUCUUGGCCUUUCACCCUGGGCGUGGGGCCCCGUCGCCAUGGUCACCUGGACGCCCCUCACCUGACCGGCUGCCCCGCUGGAAGAGGCUUUGGUGGAGCUGCUUUGUUUCGGAAGCAGAUUACACAGCAUCAAAUCCAGGACCUCACGUUGCAUUUCCUUGACCUGCCUUAUCGGUGUCCUCCAAAUUGUGACAGUUCCUCAGUCAUCUCCAAUCUUUCAUGACCUUCAUACUUUUUGAAGAGUACUGAUCAGGCAUUUUUG